AGCCAGUAGCUACAAAAAAAUAUAAUUUUCAGGCAUAUUUAUUAAACACUAUAAUUAACUACAAACUGACUACCAUUUAACUACAAUUGUAUAAACAAACCUAUCUUCAAUAAUAUAGUAAUUUUUCAAAUACAUAAAUAACUACAUACCUUCUAUUACUUGAUCUUUUUACUCUGAACUGGAACUUGUGCAUAACUGCAU
rnacentral:lncRNA from 1 species